UCGAAUGGUUUUGGUGGGGAAUAAAAUGAUUGGUAGGCAUAGAAGGCUGACGCAGAUUCACCAGACGUGGGUUUUACAGGUUCAAACCUCGUUCUGCAGGAAAAAGAAGCCGAAAUCACCCCUACUACCACUGUCGCUUUGCACAGAGGGAGAGAGAGAGAGGAUGGAAGAGGAAGGGAUGGAAGAGGACCCGACAUGGAGGUUCGGCACGACGACGUCGACAUGUCCAGGGACAACGAUGGCGAGGCUGACGCCGGCGGUGAGCCUGAUGCCGAUGCCGCUGCUUUCGAAAGUAUCUUUCCUUCCUCCUCAUUCUUCUUCUUCCUCUUCUUAUUGUUAUUGCCCUUAACCGGCUCUUGGCUUCAUGAAGAUUUUGUUUUUGAGGAGUGAGGUGGGUGUUCCUUCCGUUCGUUGAGCACCGAAGUGCUGCAAUUCUUUUCACUUUCUGUUAUUGGGCCCUUUCUUCGAUUGCUAUUCUGGGAUUUUGCAUUUUGGGGAAAACAAGGCUACACGAGAUGAAGAAGAGGAUGAAGGAGAUGGAGCAGGAAACUGCAGCUCGUCGAGAGAUGCAGGCUAAGCUCUACCAAGAAUGGGGCCUGUUCAAGUAUCAGAGGAAAACAGAGACACGGGAGAUGAGAAAUGCAAACAUAAUGAUUCGAUUCUUUUGUAUAUAUACUGUAUAAACCGAAUACUAAUUACAUUUCUGUUGCAAAUACAAUUGUACUCCAGCUGUACCCCACUCUCUUAUCCGAAGCUUCUCGUAGCCACCUUGGCACCCUUUACAUUGCAUUCAGACCCAGCUACUGCUGCAGAAGCACAGGCAAGCAGGGAAGAAGUGGAUAGUCAAUCAGUGUCUGUUGGUAAUGUAAGGUUUCAUUUUUUUUUGUCUUUGAUGGAUUAAUAUUCUCUAAUUUGGGAUUGAGGGCACCACGUUUCUUACCAUAUGUAUAUCUAUGAGUGAGUGUGCCUGUGUGUAUUUUGUCCUUGUGUCCUACUUUUUUAGAAUUUUUGAAAGUUCACACUCCUGUACAAAAUUCACAUAAGCAUAUGUAUUUGUAUAUCUGUAACAUAGUCGGACAUUUUUGGGGACAAAAUGUGAUGUUUUUAUUGCUUUUGUAGAAAGAAUUCAUUUGCCUGCAUCGAACAUUCUUGACUAAUAUAUCUCGCAGUCGAAUUCUUGCUGGUGUGAUGGGGUUCUGGUUAACAAUUUCAGUCUUAUUAUAUGUAAUUUGCUUGUUUGUACAAAUCUUCCGACAGCAAAAUUGUGUCUUCUUGGGACAUAAAUUAUAUCCUCUGGAUCUAGCCAUUUGAUGUUAGGUUCAACAAGGAUCUUACUUUGAGUUGUUAAUUGUUUGGCUAGAUUGGUGAUGAAUUCAGGUGAGAAAUUGUCAAAGGACAGGUGUAUUGCCUUUAGCCAUGGCAUAAAUGACUUCUUUCAAUACUUUCAUGUUGAUUAAUGCUUCUAUCAAACCUAGUGGUAUGGGAUCUUAUUUAGAUCCAGGUCACUAGAUGCCCUUCUGCCAUGAUCUCGGUUAUCCAGUAGCUUUAUAUAUUUCAUUGGUUUGAAAUCUUCCAAUGCCAUUGUCAGCAUUCCCAAGAACAUGUUUGGAUGUCUCACAUUUUCAGUUCCUGCAUAUAUUUUGGUUCCUUCUGUCAAUGUAUGAUAUUUGAUAUCCUAAAAUAUGUUUGGAGUUGGAGUUUGGACAUUUCAUCUGUACAGCUCUUCUAAGUUGUCAUGUCUGGCUUCAACUAGCAUCCAAACAAGCGGUUGAAAUUUUGCUGGUGUAUCAUAUCGAUUAUGUUGAUAUAUGACUAUGUUUAUCUUAGGCGCAGCAACAUUUCCAAUCUUGUGGUACUGUUGACAGGGUUACAAUUUUGACUGACAAAGUUUGGCCAACCUAAAGGAUUUUCAUGUGGAAUUUCUAGAAACAGAAGCUGUCCAGAAUGCUCUCCUUUCGAAAGAACCAGAGCUCCAUGGUCGUCAACAAAAGGUGCAUAAUAUUGCCCUUGCCCUAGAUAUCAUGAACUUUAGGGCAUCCUUGAAUGAAGCAACAGUUGUUAGUCAUAAUGUGUCUCUACUUUUGAGGACAAUUUAUGUUGUGAAUUUGAUUUAGUAAAACUACACCCUAAAAGCAUCUUUUGUAGUCAAAGAUAUG